GUUAUGGAGCCGGAGGAUCGGCCGGGAGGCGGGGAACCGCCGGAGCCUGGUGGGGACCCUGACUCCGCUACGAACCUGGGACCCUGCUCGCGGGGCUUCGUCCCGCAGAAGGAGAUUGUCUACAACAAGCUGCUUCCCUACGCCGAGCGGCUGGACGACGAGUCCGAUUUGCUGCUGGCCCAGAUCAAAGGCAACCUGGGCCGGGCCGUGCAGCUGCAGGAGCUGUGGCCGGGGGGCCUCUUCUGGACUAGGAAACUCUCCACAUAUAUUCGGCUUUAUGGAAGAAAAUUUAGCAAAGAAGAUCAUGUACUUUUUAUCAAGUUAUUAUAUGAGCUGGUAUCAAUUCCAAAGCUGGAGAUCAGCAUGAUGCAGGGAUUUGCCCGUCUCUUGAUAAAUCUUUUAAAGAAAAAAGAACUUCUUUCCAGAGAUGACUUGGAGUUACCCUGGAGACCACUUUAUGACAUGGUAGAACGAAUAUUAUACUCCAAAACAGAACAUCUGGGAUUAAAUUGGUUUCCUAAUUCUGUAGAAAAUGUUCUAAAAACACUCGUGAAAAGCUGCCGACCGUACUUUCCUGAGGAUGCUACAGCAGAGAUGUUGGAAGAAUGGCGGCCUUUAAUGUGUCCUUUUGAUGUUACAAUGCAGAAGGCUAUCACUUAUUUUGAAAUAUUUCUUCCUACCUCUCUCCCUCCAGAACUUCAUCAUAAAGGUUUUAAGCUUUGGUUUGAUGAGUUAAUUGGCCUUUGGGUUUCAGUGCAGAAUCUCCCACAGUGGGAGGGGCAACUAGUAAAUCUCUUUGCUCGUUUGGCCACAGAUAAUAUAGGGUACAUAGAUUGGGAUCCAUAUGUACCAAAGAUAUUUACAAGAAUUCUCAGAAGUUUGAAUCUCCCAGUGGGAAGCAAUCAAGUUUUAGUUCCAAGAUUCUUAACAAAUGCUUAUGAUAUAGGGCAUGCAGUAGUAUGGAUCACUGCCAUGAUGGGUGGACCAAGUAAGUUAGUGCAAAAGCACCUGACUGGUCUAUUUAACAGCAUUGCAUCUUUCUACCAUCCUUCAAAUAAUGGUCGCUGGCUGAACAAGUUAAUGAAACUACUCCAGAGAUUGCCAAACAGUGUUGUUAGACGAUUACAUCGUGAACGAUACAAGAAGGCUUCUUGGCUAACUCCUGUGCCUGAUAGCCAUAAGCUAACAGAUCAAGAUGUUACAGACUUUGUACAAUGCAUUAUUCAGCCUGUUCUUUUGGCUAUGUUCAGCAAAACAGGUAGCCUCGAGGCAGCUCAAGCUCUACAGAAUCUUGCACUUAUGCGACCAGAGUUAGUAAUUCCACCUGUACUUGAAAGAACGUAUCCUGCCCUAGAGACAUUAACAGAACCUCACCAACUCACCGCCACUUUAAGUUGUGUGAUUGGAGUAGCUCGUAGUCUAGUGUCAGGGGGCAAAUGGUUUCCUGAAGGUCCAACACACAUGCUACCUCUGUUGAUGAGAGCGUUACCUGGCGUGGAUCCAAAUGACUUUAGUAAAUGCAUGAUCACAUUCCAGUUUAUAGCAACAUUUUCCACUCUGGUGCCUUUAGUAGAUUGUUCAUCUGUACUUCAAGAAAGAAAUGACCUCACAGAAGUGGAAAAGGAGCUGUGCUCUGCUACAGCUGAAUUUGAAGAUUUUGUCUUACAAUUUAUGGACAGGUGUUUUGGACUUAUAGAAAGUAGCACAUUGGAACAAACAAGAGAGGAGACAGAAACUGAAAAGAUGACCCACUUGGAAAGUUUGGUGGAAUUAGGCCUCUCUUCUACUUUCAGUACGAUACUCACCCAAUGUUCUAAUGAGAUAUUUAAGGUUGCCCUGCAGAAAGUUUUUAAUUUUGCUGUUUCAAACAUAUUUGAAACUAGAGUAGCAGGUCGCAUGGUGGCAGACAUGUGCCGAGCUGCUGUAAAGUGCUGCCCAGAAGAAUCUUUGAAGAUCUUUGUUCCCCAUUGCUGCAGUGUUAUAACUCAACUUACAAUAAAUGAUGAUGUCUUGAAUGAAGAAGAGCUAGAUAAGGAAUUAUUGUGGAAUCUCCAACUUUUGUCUGAGAUUACUCGAGUUGAUGGAAAGAAGUUGUUGCCUUACAAAGAAGAGCUGGUAAAGAUUCUCCAUCGAACCUUACAUUUAACCUGUAAACAGGGUUACACUUUGUCUUGUAAUCUCUUACAUCACCUUUUGCGAUCAACUACGCUUAUCUACCCUACGGAAUACUGCAGUGUGCCAGGUGGCUUUAACAAGCCUCCUUCUGAAUACUUUCCUAUCAAGGACUGGGGAAAACCAGGUGAUUUGUGGAAUCUAGGUAUCCAGUGGCAUGUACCUUCACAUGAAGAAAUAACCUUUGCCUAUUAUUUACUGGAUUCCUUUCUUCAGCCUGAGCUUAUCAAGCUUCAACUCUAUGCAAAUGGAGAAGUAGAAAUGUCCAGAGAUGAUGUACAACAGCGUUUGACCAUAGUUCACAACUGUUUGAUUGGUUCAGGGAACCUUCUACCCCCUUUGAAAGGAGAGCAGAUUACUCAUUUGGUGCCAAGUAUGGUAUCUUUGGAAGAAACGAAAUUGUACACUGGUCUUGACUAUGAUUUUUCUAGAGAGAACCACCGAGAAGCAAUUGCUAAGGUUAUAAGAAAGCUUCUCCAUCACAUACUUGAUAACUCUGAAGAUGAUACCAAAUCAUUGUUUCUUAUCAUAAAGAUCAUAGGGGACCUCUUGCAAUUUCAAGGUUCUCACAAGCAUGAAUUUGACUCACGAUGGAAGAGUUUUAACCUAGUGAAGAAGUCAAUGGAGAAUCGGCUCCAAGGGAAAAAACAGCAUAUUAGAGCAUUGCUAAUUGAUAGAGUAAUGUUGCAGCAUGAGCUGAGAACAUUAACUGUUGAAGGUUGUGAAUACAAAAAAGUACACCAAGAUAUGAUCAGAGACCUUCUUCGUUUGUCUACAAGUUCAUAUGGCCAGGUUAGGAAUAAAGCUCAACAAACAUUUUUCACAGCUCUGGGAACAUAUACAUUUUGCUGCAGAGAUAUAAUUCCUUUGGUUUUAGAAUUCUUGCAGCCAGACAGACAAGAUGUCACUCAACAGCAAUUCAAAGGUGCCUUGUAUUGUCUACUUGGAAACCACAGUGGAGUGUGCCUAGCAAAUCUUCAUGACUGGGAUUGUAUUGUACAGACAUGGCCAGCAAUUGUUUCUUCGGGGCUAAGCAAAGCAAUGUCCCUAGAAAAGCCAUCAAUAGUCAGGCUAUUUGAUGAUCUUGCAGAAAAGAUUCAUAGACAAUAUGAAACAAUUGGACUGGAUUUCACAGUUCCACAGACAUGUGUUGCAAUAGGUGUCUUAAUCCAACAGUCAAAAUAUCCCUCUGCCAACCAACCAUUGCUUAGCCCAGAGGAAAUUCAGUUAGGAAUUCAACGACAGCAAGAGAAAAAUGCUGAGGCCUUACAGAACUAUGAAAACCUGGUACAUACUUUGUUAGACUGUGUGGAUCAAAGAAAUCUCCCUUGGAAAUUUGAACAUAUAGGCAUUGGCUUUCUGUCCCUGCUCUUGAGAGAUGAUCGAGUUCUGCCUCUUCGUGCCAUAAAAUUCUUUGUGCAGAGUCUUAACCAUGAUGCAAUUGUGGUUCGCAAGAUGGCUAUCUCAGCAGUUGCUGGCAUUCUCAAGCAGCUGAAGAGAGCACACAAAAAGCUUUCCAUCUGUCCAUAUGAAAUCAGUACUACUCCUAAACCUUCCUGCAUACUUGCUGGUGACAGACCUGAUAACCAAUGGAUGCAUUAUGAUAGUAAAAAUAUACCAAGAACUAAAACAGAAUGGGAAUCAAGUUGUUUUGUGGAAAAAACACACUGGGGAUACUACACUUGGCCUCAGAAUAUGGUUGUUUAUGCGCCUGUAGAAGAGCAACCAAAGCUUGGCAGAAGUCGGGAAGAUAUGACUGAGGCAGAACAGAUUAUUUUUGAUCAUUUUUCCAAUCCUAAAUUUGUUGAGCAGUUAAUAAAUUUUUUAUCUUUAGAAGACAGAAAAGGAAAAGACAAAUUUAAUCCUCGUCGGUUUUGCCUCUUCAAGGGUGUAUUCAGGAACUUUGAUGAUGCCUUUUUGCCAGUUUUGAAGCCUCACUUAGAACGUCUAGUUUCAGAUUCACACGAGAGCACCCAGCGCUGUGUAGCAGAAAUUAUAGCUGGCUUGAUCAGAGGUUCUAAGCAUUGGACAUUUGAAAAGGUAGAAAGACUUUGGGAGCUUCUUUGUCCCCUGCUUAGAACAGCAUUGUGUAACAUUACAGUGGAAACAUAUAAUGAUUGGGGAACUUGUAUAGCAACUUCCUGUGAAAGCAGAGAUCCUCGGAAACUUCAUUGGCUGUUUGAGUUGUUAUUGGAGUCUCCGUUGAGUGGUGAAGGAGGAUCUUUUGUAGAUGCAUGUCGACUAUAUGUUCUACAAGGUGGGCUUGCCCAGCAAGAAUGGAGGGUACCUGAGCUGUUACACAGGUUACUGAAGUACUUAGAACCCAAACUCACUCAAGUUUACAAGAAUGUCAGGGAAAGAAUAGGGAGUGUACUGACUUAUAUAUUCAUGAUAGAUGUUUCUUUGCCAAACACUGCGCCAACAAAAUCUCCUCGUGUUCCUGAAUUCACUGCCCGUAUCCUGGAGAAACUAAAACCCCUCAUGGAGGUAGAUGAAGAAAUCCAGAAUCAUGUUAUGGAAGAGAAUGGAGUUGGUGAAGAAGAUGAAAGAACUCAGGGCAUCAAAUUAUUGAAAACCAUACUAAAGUGGCUGAUGGCAAGCGCAGGACGAUCCUUUUCUACGGCGGUCACAGAGCAGCUCCAGCUUUUGCCCUUGUUUUUUAAGAUUGCCCCAGUUGAAAAUGAUAAUAGCUAUGAUGAAUUAAAAAGAGAUGCAAAAUUGUGUCUUUCCUUAAUGUCUCAGGGGUUGCUUUAUCCUCAACAAGUGCCUUUGGUGCUUCAGGUGCUAAAACAAACAGCAAGAAGCAGUUCUUGGCAUGCUAGAUACACGGUACUAACCUACCUCCAAACCAUGGUAUUCUAUAAUCUCUUUACUUUCCUAAAUAAUGAAGAAGCAGUUAAAGAUAUCAGAUGGCUUGUUAUAAGUCUUUUGGAAGAUGAACAGCUAGAGGUUCGAGAAAUGGCUGCUACCACCCUAAGUGGGCUAUUGCAGUGUAACUUCCUUACCAUGGAUGGCCCUAUGCAGAUUCACUUUGAGCAGCUUUGCAAGACAAAGCUACCUAAGAAAAGAAAACGAGAUCCUGGCACAGUGGGAGACACUAUUCCAUCCGCAGAAUUGGUCAAUCGCCAUGCUGGAGUGCUAGGAAUUGGUGCAUGUAUUUUAUCUAGUCCCUAUGAUGUCCCUACCUGGAUGCCACAGCUCCUGAUGAAUCUCAGUGCACACCUAAAUGAUCCCCAGCCAAUUGAGAUGACUGUAAAGAAGACUUUAUCCAAUUUCCGAAGAACACACCAUGACAACUGGCAGGAGCACAAACAGCAAUUCACUGAUGAUCAGUUGCUUGUGCUCACUGAUCUCCUGGUGUCCCCAUGCUAUUAUGCAUAGAAAAGUUCUUCAUUAAUGAGGGAAGCCUCAGAAACCUUUCUGCAGUGAUAGAGGAAACUCAAAGAAAUUUCAUGUAUAAAAACUUUUAGACUUGGAAAUCCUGAUGCCUAAUUGAAACUCUCCCUCCUCCUUCCCCAAUACAGAUGAGUAGCCCUAACUUCAGGCUCUUUUCAUCAAAAAUUCCAGUUCCUCAGAAUCACUGAAUCAAGACUUUCAGAGUUGGAAAAAUCCUCGUUGACCAUCUAGCCUAACUUAGACCUGAAAAGGAUUCUCUACUACAAAAUACUCAACAAGUGGUCAUCUAGUGGUCAUCUAACCUCUGCAUGAAGACCUCCAAUGAGGAGGAACCGAUACUUUCCAAAGCAGCCUAUUUCACUUAUGGAUAUCCAAAAUUGUUAGGAAGUUUUCCCAGAUGAUAAGCCUAAAUUUGCCUCUUUAUUUUUCUACCUGUUGUUUCUAUUCAUCCUCAGAAGACAGAACAAGUUUAAUCUCUUUGCCACUUACCUCUUCAAAUACUUGAAAACAAUCAUUACUUGCCCUGAGUUUGCUCUUCUACAGGAUAAGCAUUCUCAGUCCCUUCAGUUAAUCCUCAUCAUAGAAAUUCAAGGCCUUUUACCAUCCUGGUCUAUGAAGGAGAAUGAUAUCUGGACUGCAAAAAAAAAAAAAAAAAAAAAGUAGAAAAAUGGAUAAUAAAGAGUUAAUAACCUAAGAGAAUCAGAGGGAUAGUAAGAGAGUAUCUAAUUGCCCUUGUUGAAUUUGUCAUCUGGCUCAGAGGAACUAAUCUCAGGUAUUGAAAGAACUGACAGAUAUGAUUGUUAAGCAAUUUAUCAGUAAUCUCUGAAAGGUCCUUAAAAAAUCCUCAAGAUUGAAAAAGAUUAUUUGUUGUUUUGAUUUUUAAAAGGGAAGAUGAGAAUCUAAAAAUUGUGGGUCAAACUAUAAGCAAGCUUAACUUGGGUUCCUAGAAAAUUUUAGAAAAUAGUACUAAAGAAAUGUCAGUACUAAAAAAACUGUAGAAAAAGUAGUGAUCAUUAAGUAUCAUCAUGGCUUCAUCAAGGACAGCUCAUAUCUGACUAACUUCCUUUCCUUUUUGGACACUGGUAUUUCAGAGGGAUGCUGGAAAUAUAGUUUACUAGGAUUUUUAACAAAGGAUUUGACACAGUAACUCAUGCUGUUCUUGUGUAUAGAACUCAAGAUACUGGUUAGGUAAUACAAUUGGAUGAAUCUGGAACUGAUUGGAUGGCUGGCUUCAAAGAGUAAACAUUUCUAUUGUGAGGUUCAUUUGGAAGUAAGAGUGCUCCAGGAAUGUAAGUGUUGUUCUAUGCUGUUUGAUAUUUUUAUCAGUGAUAAACACAAAACUGGAAGGGAUCAAUAAUAUUUAGAUGGCAAAAGUCCCAAAAGAUCUUGAUAGAUUAGAACUCUAUACUGAAUCUCACUUGGUGAACUUUAAUAGAGACAAAUAAAAAGUCUUCCAUUUAGGAUUUUUAAAAAUCAGCUUGACAAGUAUACCACAAGAUGCUAUGAAGACAGCAGUUCAUCUGAAGAACUGGCGUUUUCAUAGACUGCAGACUCCAUAUGUAUCUAUCUUGGGACACAACAGUACCUAUGAAAAAGGACAUGUGAAUUCAUUUCUGUGGUUGUAGAUCACAAUCUGUUAAUUAGAAAAUAGCAGAAAAGUCUUAGGGUGUCUCUAGAGCAUCUUGAGAGAUUAAGUGAGUUACCCAGAGUCACAGGGUUAUUAUCAAUAAGCUUUUAUUUUAUACCUCUCUGUGUCAGAAACCAGAGAUAGUGUUUUUUUUUUUAAUAAAAUGGUCUGUAUAAGUAGAUAUGAAAUAUAUGCAAAGUAAAUAUAAAGUAAUUUCACUAUUCUCAUCUAUUUCUAUCUUUUCAAUUGAACCAGUUAAUCAGUCAAACAUGGUUCCUGAGGUGCCUUAUAAUCCUAGAUUUCCGAUUCUGAGAUCCUCUUUAUUUAAUGCCUACUGUGUACUAGGUACUGUGCUAGGUGCUCUAGUGCUACAAAGACAAAUAUGAAAUGCCCUCCAGAAGUUUACAUUCUAACAAGGAAACAUGUAAAUGUAAGUAUAUGUCAUAUAUAGUGAUAGAGAUUGGACCUGUGAUUGCCUUAGUAUAUGGACCUUCCAGCCAAGGAAAUUUCUUCUACAGAAACAAGUCAGCAUUUUCUCUACAAUUUAUAUAUAGUCUGAGUUACCUCAGAUACUAAAGUGUAAUGACUUGAUAGCCUCAAGCAGCUUAUUUCAGAAGGACUUGAUGCUUUUAACUUUGAGGUUGACUUUAGACAUAAUAGUCUGCCUUUAAAAUACAUAUAUGUAGUACAUAUUUGCAAAUGCCAUAUAAAGAAAAUAUAAAGUUAGUGUGUGGGGAAGAUUUCAAUCUCGGGUGACCCUUGAAAAUGUUGUGAGCCACAUGUGGUAUGUUUAAUACUAGUUUAAAUAUUUGCCUGGGGUUAUCUUUUUCCACUCUCUCCACUCCGCUUUCAGAACCAUGAUGAGGGGAAUUUAGCUAUUGUUCCUGCAGUUAUAUCACUCUCCUCUAAGGCCCUACUCAUUGGCCUAGCCAUUUGUUAGAUCAACAUACCUUCCUGGCCACUACUCCCCUUCUGUUGCCAGUUCCUUAGCACAUUAAAGUGGAAAGCUCUUAGCUCCUAAAUGGAAUGCUUCUUACAUCCAUCCAUCUGAACAGCAACAGGAAACCACUGGAGCUUCUUCAGCUCCAGUGGAGUGAAAAUAUUAGAUCUGUGCUUUUGAAGCAUUAGUUUGGCAACUGUGGAGAAUGGAUUGGAAAGGCAAAAGACUGCAGGCUGGCAGAGAGAUCAGCUUGGAAAGUGGCAGAAGUAGGUGAGGAACCCAGGCACCCCUGACAAUGUAUACCUCACUUCCUCUGUAUAUAUUGAUACAACAAAUAAAUAAAGCUCAUGUAGUCUUAAUCUGUAGUGAGGAAGAGAUGUCCAGAACUACAGUGGUGAUCCUCCUCCUAUAGAGGCAAUUGAGCAUAGUAGAUAGUAGGCUGGAGGUGGAAGCAUGAAGAGCUGGGUUCAAAAUCUUCCUCAACACAUAAUGGCUAUACAGUGUUAAGUAACAGCCCCUUUGAGCCUUAGUUUCCUCAUCUGUAAGACUGGAAUAAGAGUGUUGUGAGAUUCAAGUAAGUUUGUUUAAAGCACUUUCCAUCCCUGAAGGUGUUCUAUCAUUGUCAUUACUACAUAGGCUCCUUGUUUAGACCACAUUUGAAAUUGCACAGUUCCGGAUACCAUAUUUUGGAAAGGCCAUUGAUGAAAGGUAACAUAGUAGAGUCAAUAACGAGCUAGGAAGAUAAGUUCAAAUCCCCCUCUGAUGAAUAUUGACUGUGUGACCUUGGGCAAGUCACUUCAUCUCAGUGCUCUAAGCCGUCCUUUUAAGAUGACAUAUUGUAGUGGGGUAUCUAGAUGGUACAAUGAUUAGAGGACCAGCCCUGGAGUCAGGAGGACCAGUUUGAAUUCAGCCCCAGAUGCUCAACACUUCCUAACUGUGUGACCCUGGGCAAGUCACUUAAUUCCAAUUCUCUCUCAAAAAGAAAAAGAAAACAAGUGUAGGAUGAUAUAUUGCAGAGAAGGUUAAGACCUUUUUUUGGCUAAGACGUGUAUUGGCAAAAUCUAAGUCCCACCUGGGAGGGAACUCCCUAUACUUAGGACAUUGCAGGUUAUCAUUAUUGAUAAAUUAGUGAGUAUUCAGAUGAAGGCAACAAGGAGUCCAUCUUCAGACAUUUAUUAGCUGUGUAACCUGGUUAGGCUUCUUAACCUGGCUGCCUCGGUUUCCUCAACUGUAAUAUGGGGAUCAUUAUAGCAUCUUAUGUCAUAGGGGUGUUGUGAGGAUCAAUAAGACAAUAUCUGUAAAGCACUUAGCAAAGUGUCUGGAACAUAAUAGACACUUCAGAAAUGUUUGUUCCUUUCCUUGCUGUCUUUGAACAAGCAAACUUACAUAAAACAUUAGAAAUGAUGGCCUUCGUUCAAAGAUAUAGGUGCAUAUUAGUCUAAUUAUUUAUUUUAAAAUCUAAAUAGAACAUGGCAAGAGUCAGGAAAUUUAAGUUCUAGUCCUGGCUUAGCCACAAUCUGUGUGAUCAUUGGCAAGGCAUUUAGUUCCUCUGGGACUUAAUUUCUUUUUGCGUGAAAAUGGAAGAAUUAAAUGACUGCAAAAGUCCCACUACCCAAGCUUGACUAGUGUAACAUUCUAUGAUGAUGAAGCGUGAUACUCUCCCUUCAUUGUUUCCCUCAACUGGAAGUAUAUUUGGUAGGAAGUGUCGUUCUUUAUCUGUGCAUUCCAAGGUUUGAAAAUGAAUUGGCUAAAAUCUAUAUAAAAACAGAAUGAAAAUGAGGAAAUUUCUUAUUUUGGUAAAUGAUAUGGAAUUUCCUGAAUUUUAACAGUUAUAUCCAGUCAUUUUCCAUUAUAUCUCUAGGGUCUAAGACCCUACUGCCACUUUUUAUACAUAUAAAAAACUUUGACUGUUUUUUUGCCCAAACCUGUGACUCUGUAGAGCACUUCUGGGUUGAAAAGAACUAACUCUACUAAAUCAACAUACAUUUAUUAAGUGCCUACUCUGGGCCAGCAACUGUGAUCCCACACCAAGAGACACCAGCAACUAUUAAGCAAUUUAUGGGUUUAGAACAGUUUCUAGUGUGUCUGUGUGUGUGUGUGUGUGUGUGUGUGUGUGUGAGAGAGAGAGAGAGAGAAAUUCUUUGCUAAUGGGACAAACCUUUGGAACCCUUCUCAGGAUGUUUUUAAAUGGACAAACAAAAGGAACCAAAUCAGGUUAUUUUUUUAAAAAUGAGUUCUUAGAGUUGAAUUGAUGAAUUUCUGCUUUAAAGAGUUACCUGUGACUUGCCCAGGGGCCAUGCAACCUAUAUAUAUAUUGGGCUCAAACCCAAGCUCUUCUUGACUCCAAGUCCAGUUGCAUGUUAUGUCACACUACUUGUUAUGACAUAAAAAGAAUGUGUUGUCUAGAGUAGCUGAAAAGGGGGGAUGUGAAUUGCAUGUUAAUUUUUGAUACUUCUGAAAGGAAGCAAAGUGGUAAGAAUAAUGGUCUUGAGUGUUCUAUUGGUAUCCUGCCCUGUGACCAUGGCAAGUCACUUUAAGCUCUCAGGCUCAGUUUCCUUAUAUAUAAAAUGGGAAUGAUGAGAACACCUGCCUUAAGAUUAUUGCGAGGAUCGAAUUAAAUGAUAAUAUGUAAAGUGCUUUGCAAACCUUAAAACUAUAUACAAACUAUAUACAUGUACUAGUCAAACUCAAUUUUUUGAGAACAUAAUCUUCAAAUUAUUCAAGAAUUGUUUAUCUAAUUAAUGAUUAUCGAGGUGCCUAAGAUUUUCUAUAUUUUUAUGCUCUUUUUUUCUUAAAGUAGGAUGGACUAGAAGGGAAAAAAGAAAUAACAUUCCAGCCAUUUGUUUUGGAACUUAGCAGCUUUGAUGUUUAUAGCUGGUAAAACAAAUAUUCAAAACCAAAAUUUUUUUGUAAGUAAUCUAUUAUGGAAUUGGUUAAAAUAGGAAGAUGGUUUAGUAAGGUUGGUAAUAGUCCCUGCAUAUGGAUUAUCUGGGUUAAGUCCAACUUCCAUUAUUAUCUGAUUUGCUGUGUCUGGCAUUAGCAGCAUGUAUAUUGGUGCACAAUAAACAUUGUUUGAUAAUGGCAAAACUAUCAGAUUUCAGAUUCCUAGAGUCAGAUAUUAAUAUCGACAAUCCAUUUCAGACAUUGUGUACUCUUUGAAAGAAUUUAAUUUAGUAAUAAAUGUAUCAAGCUCCUUAUGUGCAAGGCUGGAGACCUUAUAUUCUGAUAAAGGGCUGUACGUGGAGUCUGGAAAGCUUGGUUCUAAGUCUUCCCUUUUUUUAAUACUGGUUGUAUAACUGGACAAGUCAUUUAAUCCCUCAGGGCCUCCAGGCGAAAUCUCUAAGGCUGCAAAUGACAGAAGAAUUGUUGCUACCUGUGAAAGUUUUUUCACUGAUUUCCCUAUCACAAUGAAAUCAUAGGUUUGGACAUAAUGUUCUGAAUGCUGGGUUUAUAAAAAUAAUACUUUCCCUGCCCUACAGGAAGUUCUAGUAGAAAAGGGAAGAAUGGAGGGAAUGUAUGUGGAAUAUUUUUUUUCCAGUCUAAAACUGGUUUAAAUGAGGAAUAAAGAUUCUGGAAGUGAAUCUGUGAUUUCAUGAAUACAGGCAAUUCCCAGCUGAGGAAAUUUCCUGUUAUUGUAGGUCAGCUAUUUAGUGCCUUAGAGAUUUGCUUAUAACACUGAGAGAGUGAAGUGAUUUGCCUUGUAUCACACAACCCUUAUAUGUCAAAUAUGGCUGGUUCCAAGACCUAACUCUAUCCACUAUGCCAUGUUGGUUUAACUUGGCUUAAAUUAGUUUCACCAUGGAGGAAGUGAAGAACUUUUUUACUUUUGUCAUAAUUCAUGAUCAGAAAGCCCACCUAUUACAGUCAUGAUUUACCCUUUUAUUUGCUUUCCUGUUUUCCUGUCAUGCAACUAUUGGACUUAAAAUUAAAAUGUUAACACUG